rnacentral:rRNA from 1 species
GACGAACGCUGGCGGCGUGCCUAAUACAUGCAAGUCGAGCGAACAGACGAGGAGCUUGCUCCUUUGACGUUAGCGGCGGACGGGUGAGUAACACGUGGAUAACCUACCUAUAAGACUGGGAUAACUUCGGGAAACCGGAGCUAAUACCGGAUAAUAUAUUGAACCGCAUGGUUCAAUAGUGAAAGACGGUUUUGCUGUCACUUAUAGAUGGAUCCGCGCCGCAUUAGCUAGUUGGUAAGGUAACGGCUUACCAAGGCAACGAUGCGUAGCCGACCUGAGAGGGUGAUCGGCCACACUGGAACUGAGACACGGUCCAGACUCCUACGGGAGGCAGCAGUAGGGAAUCUUCCGGAAAGGGCGAAAGCCUGACGGAGCAACGCCGCGUGAGUGAUGAAGGUCUUCGGAUCGUAAAACUCUGUUAUUAGGGAAGAACAAAUGUGUAAGUAACUAUGCACGUCUUGACGGUACCUAAUCAGAAAGCCACGGCUAACUACGUG